rnacentral:lncRNA from 1 species
CUUCUUUUAUGCUUCUUUUCUUCAUUUUUGUUUUCUUUUAUUCUUCUUUCCUUCAUUUAUUUCUCUCAUUUUUAUUUAUUUAUUUAUUUUUUCAUUGUUUUCUUUUAUUCUUCUUUCCUUUAUUUAUUUCUUAAUUUCUUUUUUCAUUAUUUCCUUCAUUUGUUUCUUUCUUUUUAUUUUUCUUUCAUUUAUUUUUUUAUUUUACUCUUUUUUUUUCAUUUUUUCCUUUUCUUCUC